GCCCUUCUGGCCUAAUGGCUAAGGCGUCUGACUUCUAAGUGCAGUCAAAAUCUGCUAGAUGAGAAUCAGAAGAUUUUGGGUUCGAUCCCCAAGUCGGGCU
rnacentral:tRNA from 1 species